rnacentral:rRNA from 1 species
GAUGAACGCUGGCGGCGUGCCUAAUACAUGCAAGUCGAGCGAACGGACGAGAAGCUUGCUUCUCUGAUGUUAGCGGCGGACGGGUGAGUAACACGUGGAUAACCUACCUAUAAGACUGGGAUAACUUCGGGAAACCGGAGCUAAUACCGGAUAAUAUUUUGAACCGCAUGGUUCAAAAGUAAAAGACGGUCUUGCUGUCACUUAUAGAUGGAUCCGCGCUGCAUUAGCUAGUUGGUAAGGUAACGGCUUACCAAGGCAACGAUGCAUAGCCGACCUGAGAGGGUGAUCGGCCACACUGGAACUGAGACACGGUCCAGACUCCUACGGGAGGCAGCAGUAGGGAAUCGGCCGCAAUGGGCGAAAGCCUGACGGAGCAACGCCGCGUGAGUGAUGAAGGUCUUCGGAUCGUAAAACUCUGUUAUUAGGGAAGAACAUAUGUGUAAGUAACUGUGCACAUCGUGACGGUACCUAAUCAGAAAGCCACGGCUAACUACGUG